rfam:Haemonchus contortus, ISE/inbred ISE, WGS project CAVP01000000 data, contig: Hcontortus_26512
AGCACAAACUUGAAGUAGAGUGGAUUGGUAGGAUCAGCUGAUCAUUCCCAACCUCUUUACUUCAAGUUUGUGCUC